rnacentral:rRNA from 1 species
AUUGAACGCUGGCGGCAUGCCUUACACAUGCAAGUCGAACGGCAGCGCGGGAGCAAUCCUGGCGGCGAGUGGCGAACGGGUGAGUAAUAUAUCGGAACGUGCCCAGUAGUGGGGGAUAGCCCGGCGAAAGCCGGAUUAAUACCGCAUACGACCUGAGGGUGAAAGGGGGGGAUCGCAAGACCUCUCGCUAUUGGAGCGGCCGAUAUCAGAUUAGGUAGGUGGUGGGGUAAAGGCCUACCAAGCCUGCGAUCUGUAGUUGGUCUGAGAGGACGACCAGCCACACUGGGACUGAGACACGGCCCAGACUCCUACGGGAGGCAGCAGUGGGGAAUUUUGGACAAUGGGCGCAAGCCUGAUCCAGCAAUGCCGCGUGCAGGAAGAAGGCCUUCGGGUUGUAAACUGCUUUUGUCAGGGAAGAAAUCCUCUAGGCUAAUACCUUGGGGGGAUGACGGUACCUGAAGAAUAAGCACCGGCUAACUACGUGCCAGCAGCCGCCGUAAUAC